CCUGACGUAACGCCCUCUACAUUGUUUGGUCACCGGCACCGAUUCGUAAUCGAUAGGUCGGGGGUUCAAUUCCCUCCGUCGGCACCA
rnacentral:tRNA from 1 species